rnacentral:lncRNA from 1 species
CAAGGUCUCAGCCUAGCAGAUGGCCUCUGUUCUCCAGGGCGGCGACAUGGACUUGGCCUAAGCCCAGUGGAGAGACGCUGCGGACAGAGGCCGUGGGAGGUUUCUAUACCAAGGGCUGGAUGUGACCAGUUAAGAGUCAGAGUGACACAGUGAGCUUGAAGAGAGAAAGAUGCAAAUUCUUUCCUUCUAAUUGGUCUUUACUAGUCUGUAGCUUUGUGAGCCCUGGAAGCUGACACCAAGAAGCACAUUCUCAUCCACUAAGAGUCCAGGGGCAUCAAAGACAGAGCCAGGGGCUGCCCUCGAGUGGCUUCAUGGGCGCUGGGCAUUGCCUAUGGGAGCAGACAGCAAACAUCAGAGGUCUGUUGGGUGGACCCUCAGUCCCAUGGUUGAUGUCCUUAUAUGAAGAGGAGAGGACACACGUGACACUGGAGGCAGACAUUGGAGUGAUGCAGCUACAAGCCAAGGAGCGCCAAGGUGCUGGGUGCCAGGAGAAGCUGGAAGAGAAUAUUCAUAGAUGAAAAAGAAGAGAAACGGCUACAUGAAGAACUAGUUUCAUAAAUUCUGGCAGGACUUCCAGGCUGUCCCUCAAGGCAAUGUCUCCAAAUUCCUAGAAAGCUCUGGAAACAAGACAGAGAACAAUGUGGAACUGUUUGGACCCAUUGACCUAAAGGCCUGGAGGUUAAGGACUUGUGAAGUGGCCUCAGUAGCCCAGUUUGUCCCCGGGGAGAAGUGGCCAGAGGGGCUGCCAGGCUGUUGAAAUGUUCUCUCCCUGGAGAAGCAGUGGUGGAGGCCAAGGGACACCGAUGAUCCUCCUCUCAGUUCCUCCAGUAACUCACAGGGUGGGAAGAGGCUGUAAAGCCUUCUUUGACCUGGCACAGAGCAUCCUGUCAUCAUUGCAGGUUGGGCUCGCCAGCACCCUUACAGGCUCUGCAUCGAAGUACUGGCCUAUGCAUGAGGCCCUACUGGCUGGUUUGUGUUGGAUCCUGGCUCUUCAUGAAAAACUAUUUGCAAGUUCACCUAGUUGUAUGGCAUCGCAAGUUAGAAAAACGUGCUAGGAAUAACCGUGGGAGACAUUCGAGAUGCCAAGCAAUCCUGUGGUGGCCCCAGCAGCAUGCAGCAAUGUGAGUCUGCAGGAGCCAAACUCUGAGGGAAGAGCACCUUUCUCUCCAUUCAGAGGAGCUGUGCUUUGAAGAGUGGGGAGCCCACCUCCAUUGCAUUU